rnacentral:ncRNA from 1 species
AACUGGGGGAGCUCCGAGUGGGGCUGAGAGGAGGCCUGGGCCUCGACCCCUGGAACCUGACCUGGGUAAUGCCAGCGUAGGGAAGGU